GAUGAACGCUGGCGGCGUGCCUAAUACAUGCAAGUCGAGCGAACAGACGAGGAGCUUGCUCCUUUGACGUUAGCGGCGGACGGGUGAGUAACACGUGGAUAACCUACCUAUAAGACUGGGAUAACUUCGGGAAACCGGAGCUAAUACCGGAUAACAUGUUGAACCGCAUGGUUCAACAGUGAAAGACGGUCUUGCUGUCACUUAUAGAUGGAUCCGCGCCGCAUUAGCUAGUUGGUAAGGUAACGGCUUACCAAGGCAACGAUGCGUAGCCGACCUGAGAGGGGGAUCGGCCACACUGGAACUGAGACACGGUCCAGACUCCUACGGGAGGCAGCAGUAGGGAAUCUUCCGCAAUGGGCGAAAGCCUGACGGAGCAACGCCGCGUGAGUGAAGAAGGUCUUCGGAUCGUAAAACGCUGUUAUUAGGGAAGAACAAAUGUGUAAGUAACUAUGCACGUCUUGACGGUACCGAAUCAGAAAGCCACGGCUAACUACGU
rnacentral:rRNA from 1 species